rnacentral:rRNA from 1 species
UACGUAGGGACCAAGCGUUGUUCGGAUUUACUGGGCGUAAAGGGCGCGUAGGCGGCGUGGUAAGUCACUUGUGAAAUCUCCGAGCUUAACUCGGAACGGUCAAGUGAUACUGCUGUGCUAGAGUACAGAAGGGGCAAUCGGAAUUCUUGGUGUAGCGGUGAAAUGCGUAGAUAUCGAGAGGAACACCCGCGGCGAAGGCGGGUUGCUGGGCUGACACUGACGCUGAGGCGCGAAAGUGUGGGGAUCAAACAGG